GAUGAACGCUGGCGGCGUGCCUAAUACAUGCAAGUCGAGCGAACAGACGAGGAGCUUGCUCCUCUGACGUUAGCGGCGGACGGGUGAGUAACACGUGGAUAACCUACCUAUAAGACUGGGAUAACUUCGGGAAACCGGAGCUAAUACCGGAUAAUAUAUUGAACCGGAUGGUUUAAUAGUGAAAGACGGUUUUGCUGUCACUUAUAGAUGGAUCCGCGCCGCAUUAGCUAGUUGGUAAGGUAACGGCUUACCAAGGCAACGAUGCGUAGCCGACCUGAGAGGGUGAUCGGCCACACUGGAACUGAGACACGGUCCAGACUCCUACGGGAGGCAGCAGUAGGGAAUCUUCCGCAAUGGGCGAAAGCCUGACGGAGCAACGCCGCGUGAGUGAUGAAGGUCUUCGGAUCGUAAAACUCUGUUAUUAGGGAAGAACGAAUGUGUAAGUAACUAUGCACGUCUUGACGGUACCUAAUCAGAAAGCCACGGCUAACUACGUG
rnacentral:rRNA from 1 species